GCUGGGUCUUCUGGGCACAGGGACUCCUAGAUGAGUGGGGUAGGGGCUGAGGAAUGCAAAUGAGAUGUCAGUGUGCCCUUUCCUCAGCCCAUUCAAAGUCUGUAGCCCUGGAUUGAAUGAACUGGAGGAGAAGCUUAUUUGCCAGGGAGUGGGAAGCAGAAACCCAGGUGUUUGGUUACCUGGGGCCUGCCUCUCCUUCAGCCUGAGAUAUGGAGAGAGCAGGGCUGGAAGGACUCCCCACCCCCACCUCAGCCUCACUUCCCUCUCUGCGUCCCUACUUGGCUGUCCUUGCUUCAGUCUGCCCCUGCCCCACCUCCCACCUCCAGCUACUGCCCUACAAGUCAAGGAAUGUUUGGGCCCCAGGGGUAGAGCUGGGGGUUGGAUAAGGGUAAGACUGCACAGGGGCCAGAUGGGCUGGUUUGGAGAAGGGUAAUGAGAUCCCAGGAAGAGAGGG
rnacentral:lncRNA from 1 species